UUAGGAGAUUUUAAUGAAAUUUUACUCUCGUCGGAAAAAGAAGGUGGCAAUGCGAAACCGAAUGCAAUGAUGAGAUAUUUCCGUAAUUGUUUAGGAGAGUGCGGCCUCGACGAUAUGGGAUGUAUUAGUGAUCCUUUCACUUGGAGGACAGGCGACACUAGAGAGAGACUUGACAUGGCGGUUUGCAAUGUGGAAUGGGCGAAUGUAUUCCCCCGAGCUGCGGUUAUAAAUGAGGAACAUGUUCAUUCCGAUCAUCGUCCCAUCAUCUUGGAUGCUGAAUACUUUGACGCCAAUAUUUCUAAACCUCCAAGGGGACGAGUGAAACAAUUUGAAGCUAGAUGGCUUAGAGAGGAGACACCCGUUGAGAUUGUGCGUACAACAUGGGAAAAGGCAAAGAAAAUGGGCAUUGGGCCUACGCUCGCUGAUCGUACAUGA
rnacentral:rRNA from 1 species